rnacentral:rRNA from 1 species
UGAACGCUGGCGGAAUGCUUUACACAUGCAAGUCGAACGGCAGCACGGGGGGCAACCCCUGGUGCGGAGUGGCGGAACGGGUGAGUAAUAUAUCGGAACGUGCCCAGUCGUGGGGGAUAACGUAGCGAAAGUUACGCUAAUACCGCAUACGAUCUACGGAUGAAAGCGGGGGAUCGCAAGACCUCGCGCGAUUGGAGCGGCCGAUAUCAGAUUAGGUAGUUGGUGGGGUAAAGGCUCACCAAGCCAACGAUCUGUAGCUGGUCUGAGAGGACGACCAGCCACACUGGGACUGAGACACGGCCCAGACUCCUACGGGAGGCAGCAGUGGGGAAUUUUGGACAAUGGGCGCAAGCCUGAUCCAGCCAUUCCGCGUGCAGGACGAAGGCCUUCGGUUGUAACUAGCUUUGUACGGUACGAAAAGACCUUGGCUAAUACCCAGGGUCCAUGACGGUACCGUAACGAAUAAGCACCGGCGUAACUACGUGCCAGCAGCCGCGGUA